AUGAUAAGGAAGAAUGUAACACAAACUUCUUGUGUUUGCCUUGCAAGCCCCAGUUAUUAUGUCUGCUCCUGCUCAAAAUAGCUUUUCAUUUUUCCUCAGGCGAACCCAGUCAGGAGCUCAGAUCUGCUGCCCAAGCACGGGUCUGUGCAGCUCACAGCCAGCGGCAGCCCACAGCACAGCAGACACCCAGCCACGUUAACACCUUCACCAAAUUGCUGGCAAAACAAGCUGCUGGAAAGUAUCCUGGAGCAGGUCUUGCAGCCACAGCUCCUCCUAAACAACUCCCUCAGCAGUGAACGGAGCUGGGUGGGAACCCCACAGAGAAGACAGAGGCCAAGUAAAAGAAAGCAAGGAGCACGGUGAGCACAAGCUUUCUUAUUUAUUUCUCAAAGCUGAAGCAUUCUUCUGAAGGCAGGACGUGCACCAAACCACAACCAGCCCCGUAAAGAUGCAUAAGGAGGCUACACCCCACCCGUGCUUUAGCAGGAGGGUGGGCUCGGUGAUCUCCAGAGGUCCCUUCCAACCCCUACAUCCUGUGACUGUGAUUCUUAAAAACGCCAUCCACACAGGAUCCACCAGGAUCCGAUGCUACGCGACUCCCGUUCACCUCCCCGGAGCCUUAUACAGGCAGCGGGGCUCCGCGCCGCCUCAGCCCGUACCGUAGCCCCGGGACACCCGCGGGGCUCGGAGCCCACCCGUCGCGGUGCUGAGCUCCGUUACCUUGUAGUGGCGGAAGCCGUCCAGCUGCCGGCCGCUCACAUAACGCCGCCGCCACAUCGCGUCGAGCCACGCCGGGCGGGGAAGGCAGAGCCGGGGCUGGAUGGGGCUGGGAGGGCCGGGGGCGGGCGCAGGGCGGGGAUUAAAAUCCAUUACUCAGCCCUGUGAGCUUUGCCAGGCACCGAGUGCAUUGCGAGAGCCGGUGUUAUUUUACAAGCUGUGCAGAUUUGAUAGGAAUUUAUAUACAAGUUAAAAUCGCUAAGUGCAAGCUGUAUACAAUA